rnacentral:rRNA from 1 species
GGUUAUUCCGUUACGAACGAGACCUUAACCUGCUAACUAGUCUGCUUGUGAACAACAGGCUGUACUUCUUAGAGGGACUAUUGUGCAAGAAGCCAAUGGAAGUUUAAGGCAAUAACAGGUCUGUGAUGCCCCUAGACGUGCUCGGCCGCACGCGCGUUACAAUGACUGGCGCAGAAAGUAUUUCCUGUCCUGGGAAGGUACGGGUAAUCUUAUUAAUACCAGUCGUGUUAGGGAUAGUUCUUUGGAAUUGUGGAUCUUGAACGAGGAAUUUCUAGUAAGUGCAAGUCAUCAGCUUGCGUUGAUUAUGUCCCUGCCGUUUGUACACACCGCCCGUCGCUUGUAGUAACGAAUGGUCUGGUGAACCUUCUGGACUGCGGUAGCCAAUACUGCGGGAAAAUAAGUAAACCCUACCAUUUGGAACAACAAGAAGUCGUAACAAGGUAUCUGUAGGUGAACCUGCAGAUGGAUCAUUA